rnacentral:rRNA from 1 species
UACAGAGGUCUCAAGCGUUGUUCGGAUUCAUUGGGCGUAAAGCGCGUGUAGGCGGCUCGGUAAGUCUGCUGUGAAAGCCCAGGGCUCAACCCUGGGAUGCCGGUGGAUACUGUCGAGCUCGAGUCCGGAAGAGGCGAGUGGAAUUCCUGGUGUAGCGGUGAAAUGCGCAGAUAUCAGGAGGAACACCAAUGGCGAAGGCAGCUCGCUGGGACGUGACUGACGCUGAGACGCGAAAGCGUGGGGAGCAAACAGG